UUCUACCACUGUAGAAGACUUAUGCGGAUAACAACCGCGUACCUAGGAGAACUAGGAUUGGACUCCUUUAAAGGAGAAAACAAAUG
ncrna:unclassified sequences freshwater-2 RNA